rnacentral:rRNA from 1 species
GGAGAGAGGUAGCUUGCUACCGAUCUUAGCGGCGGACGGGUGAGUAAUGCUUAGGAAUCUGCCUAUUAGUGGGGGACAACAUUUCGAAAGGAAUGCUAAUACCGCAUACGUCCUACGGGAGAAAGCAGGGGAUCUUCGGACCUUGCGCUAAUAGAUGAGCCUAAGUCGGAUUAGCUAGUUGGUGGGGUAAAGGCCUACCAAGGCGACGAUCUGUAGCGGGUCUGAGAGGAUGAUCCGCCACACUGGGACUGAGACACGGCCCAGACUCCUACGGGAGGCAGCAGUGGGGAAUAUUGGACAAUGGGCGCAAGCCUGAUCCAGCCAUGCCGCGUGUGUGAAGAAGGCCUUAUGGUUGUAAAGCACUUUAAGCGAGGAGGAGGCUACUUUAGUUAAUACCUAGAGAUAGUGGACGUUACUCGCAGAAUAAGCACCGGCUAACUCUGUGCCAGCAGCCGCGGUAAUACAGAGGGUGCAAGCGUUAAUCGGAUUUACUGGGCGUAAAGCGCGCGUAGGCGGCUAAUUAAGUCAAAUGUGAAAUCCCCGAGCUUAACUUGGGAAUUGCAUUCGAUACUGGUUAGCUAGAGUGUGGGAGAGGAUGGUAGAAUUCCAGGUGUAGCGGUGAAAUGCGUAGAGAUCUGGAGGAAUACCGAUGGCGAAGGCAGCCAUCUGGCCUAACACUGACGCUGAG